rnacentral:lncRNA from 1 species
AAGAGAGAGUUUUUUUUUCCUGCAUGCAUGUUGAAAGGUUCCUGAAUAAACUGCUUUGAGAAGAAUGCUGUGUUGUUGCCCUUUUCUGCUGGUCAGAGACAGAAGCAACAUAUAUAUUUUAUUUCUUAUUUGACUAUAAUCAGUGUUUACUGAGUGUAGUAUUGAAAUCACUUUUAAUAUUUAUGAAGUAGUUGUUGUUUUCUAUUUAUGACUGAAGAAUUUGUAGUUACUUUUAUAUUAAUAAGUAUUUACAGUACUUUGUAAUUCACAGAUGUUUCCUCUGACAUCCAUCUUACUUAUCUUGAGUUAUAAGAAAAUCUUUACUACAAAAUAAAGAUAAUCAUUUCCAUUUAUGUAUUUAUAUGUCAAAUGAAAUUGAUGUAGAAAAAAAUCAUCUAUAGUGAAUAGCCUACAAAUAGUUUUUACAUUAGAAAGCCAAAAUGUAAAACCAAGUCUUAUAUGUCAGUGUAAGUUUUCAUUGCUUCUGAUAAACUCUGACUAUCAUAAUAAUUAAUAAUGUCGGGAGCCUCCCGGCCUGGAGAGGAUAGUGGCACAGGCACAACUCUGUUGUGGCUUUAAAGUCUGAGGGUCUCUGGACGUUCUAGCUCUCUAACUGUACUGAAGUGCUGAUGGUAACUUCUAAAAAGUCCAAAAAAUCUUUCUUACUCUUUCAGAGGGUAUAAUGCUGCUGGCUUAUGUGAAUGACACCUGUAACAGCUGGAAAUUAAGUAAUGGGGCUUUUGUUCUAUCUCAGCAGGAACUGAGCAGUUCUAUCUUUCAGCCUGUUAGUCAGAACUUGUAGGAAGAAAAAGGGACACUCUGAAAAGUAAUUAUAGUAUUUAUUGCUAAGUUAUAAAAGGUUUCAUAUUAAAGCUAUCUUAGGAAAAGGUGGAAAGCGGAAAGAUCCUAAGCAGGGCAAGGGAAAAUUUCUUCUUCCUGUGGGAAGGGGAAAAAAUCACCUCUUUUCUCUUUGUCCUCAGUACUUAUACAUCUUCAGAAUACAUGAUCACAUGUUAAAAAUUCAUCACAAGUUCACACAAAAAAUAAUUCAUAAUUUGAAAUAGAAGUUUACAACAGAGAAUGUUUACAUGCAUAACCAUUAGGAGUAAUUAUCUGGCUAAACAUUCAUCACCUGUCACAGCUCCACAGGUUCAUAGAAAGUUGAAAACCAUAACUAAGUUGUUAGUGAAGUUUUGUAUAAAUAAACCCAGUCAAUCUUUUAUCUUCUGUCCUAGCACCUAUAAUCAUUAAUUCCCUUUUUAUGACUUUUGGUUAAUUGUUUUACAACCACUUGGAAUGUGCUCUGAGUAGGAGAAAGUCUGGUUACUAUCUAAGAGCAAUUAACUGGUGACACAUGGGAGACUAACAGAGUUCACAUUGCAGUUUUGAAUAUGAGAAAAGGACCUAGUAGCAGCUCCACUAUAAAAGAGCUUAACAGUCACUCAUAUAAUUUUAGGAAUUCUUAUAGAAGCAUCCUUAAGACUUAAGAAGUCAUCUGUUUAUAUAGCAUCACUACAAGACAGUGCAUCUUCAUAGAUCUGCAGCGAUCUGUUCCAAAGGGGUCGGCUGAUACAUAGUGAUUGUUAUAUAUGUUAAAUAGAAACAGGAAAAGCAUAUUAAUGUCAGGAUUCUUUCCUAAAAUGAAUUCUCCUGGGUCUUGCUUAUAGAAGCGAAUCUGUCACAGAUUAUAUUAUAAUCUGAAGCAGACCUUCUCAGGAAGAUCACCUGCUAGUUAUUAGGUUGUUCUAUUAUGACUCCUGACGUAAUAAUAUGUGAAGUUGGUUAUAUCGAAAGAGCACUCUGUUGCUGAGAAAAGUAUGGGGUGAUUAUUAUUUAUUUAUGAGAUUUGUAGUGGGAUUCUAAUAUUAUGAGGGAAUAGACAAGUAUUCCAAGUGAAAUGGCUCAAUGUCCACUAACAUUUCCGGUGACAGAUAAAGCACACAUCUAUUUCACCAAAGUGCCACAAAUAUAAAAAUCCUGUAAUCAACAAUGAUCUGUGCAUGCAGUAAUUAAAAAGUCAGCAGUACAGUUUAGCAAAGAUCAUAGUAGAGGUCAAGACAGUUCACUUCACAAGGUUUGCUCUGAACAUUCUACAAGGGAAGGUGCCUAAAAGAAGACACUCAGCACUGUUUACUUGUCUUUUGUGAAAGCUUCCCUUUUUGACUAAAGACCUUUUAUCUUUGUGCUUUCCUUGAAACAAAGAAUAGAACGUGUCAUACAACCCAGAAUUUUAUGACAUGAAAUAAUGAGAUGUUGGUUUGAAAAAGAACAAUGUAUGAUUAUAAGUAAAUGUCUAAUAAAAACAUUUUCAUAAAGAAGUGAAUGGAAAGACUAUAGUUUUUAGAUGCAUUUUAAGGUUUCUUUUUAAUAUUCUUGCCCUGAAUAAUUAGUACAUUUCUAAAAUAAAAUCAUGUUUUAGAAAAAAAAAACAUUAUUCUUAAUAAUGUCUUUAUCCACAAAACAGUAAUUUUUGUUAUCUACUUGUUACUCAUGGCUAAUUUACCUGUUUUCGCCUUAAGAACAGGGAUACUGAGGAAGCUCUCACCAUGAUGUUUUAAUAGUAGUAAACUAUCCUUUACAAGAUAGAAACUAUGGCCAUGCAUCUUUAAACACAUUGCUUUUUUGCUUUCCUGUACAGAAACUAACAUACUUGGAAUAGCAAGCAGAUAUUGUUUGGGAACAAUAAUGAAACAAAAGUGUGAAGGUAAUUUAACUUUUUCUCUCCUUUGCUGUUUCCAGUAUUGAUAUUUUGGAACUCAUUCAAAUGCUCAGGUAGAAACAGAGUUCAAAGUUUAGAAGAGUGUCUUAGAUCUAUAAAAUCUGCGUCUGAAAAGCCAUUUUCUACUUUUAUGUUCUAUACAUAAUGGUAUCUCGCUGUUCUGCUGUGGAUGAAUAUAGAAUAGUGAUAUCAACUGGGCUGGGCAUGAUGGCACAACCCUUUAAACCAAAUACUCAGAAGG